rnacentral:sRNA from 1 species
ACUUGGCAAGGUGGCGUUUGCCUGUAAUCCCAGCAGCUCGGGAGGCUGAGACAGGAGGAUCGCAAGUUCAAAUCCAGCCUUCACAAUGGCGAAGCUCUAAGCAACUCAGUGAGACCCUGUCUCUA